rnacentral:rRNA from 1 species
CCUACGGGAGGCAGCAGUGAGGAAUAUUGGUCAAUGGACGAGAGUCUGAACCAGCCAAGUAGCGUGAAGGAUGACUGCCCUAUGGGUUGUAAACUUCUUUUAUAUGGGAAUAAAACGUUCCACGUGUGGGAUUUUGUAUGUACCAUAUGAAUAAGGAUCGGCUAACUCCGUGCCAGCAGCCGCGGUAAUACGGAGGCUCCGAGCGUUAUCCGGAUUUAUUGGGUUUAAAGGGAGCGUAGGUGGAUUGUUAAGGCAGUUGUGAAAGUUUGCGGCUCAACCGUACAAUUGCAGUUGAAACUGGCAGUCUUGAGUACAGUAGAGGUGGGCGGAAUUCGUGGUGUAGCGGUGAAAUGCUUAGAUAUCACGAAGAACUCCGAUUGCGAAGGCAGUUCACUGGACUGCAACUGACACUGAGGCUCGAAAGUGUGGGUAUCAAACAGGAUUAGAUACCCUGGUAGUC